rnacentral:rRNA from 1 species
UGAGCAAUCUGCCCUUCUCUUCGGAAUAAGCGUUGGAAACGACGUCUAAUGCCGAAUACGACCUCCUUUCGCAUGAUCGGAGGUGGAAAGCUCCGGCGGAGAAGGAUGAGCUCGCGGCCUAGGUCAGCUUGUUGGUGAGGUAACGGCUCACCAAGGCUUCGGACGGGUAGCCGGCCUGAGAGGGCGACCGGCCACACUGGGACUGAGAUACGGCCCAGACUCCGUACGGGAGG